rnacentral:rRNA from 1 species
GCCUGUGACCACAUCACCCGGAAUGCGCCGGAUCUCGUCAGAUCUCGGAAGCUAAGCAGGUGUGAUCCUGGACGGUGCUUGGAUGGGCGACCAUGUAUGACCGGUGUGAUAGGCU